GUAGGUGGCAAGCGGUUGUCCGGAAUUAUUGGGCGUAAAGCGCGCGCAGGCGGUUCUUUAAGUCUGAUGUGAAAGACCCACGGGCUCAACCGUGGAGGGUCAUUGGAAACUGGAGAACUUGAGUACAGAAGAGGAAAGCGGAAUUCCACGUGUAGCGGUGAAAUGCGUAGAGAUGUGGAGGAACACCAGUGGCGAAGGCGGCUUUCUGGUCUGUAACUGACGCUGAGGCGCGAAAGCGUGGGGAGCAAACAGGAUUAGAUACCCUGGUAGUCCACGCCGUAAACGAUGAGUGCUAAGUGUUAGGGGGUUUCCGCCCCUUAGUGCUGCAGCUAACGCAUUAAGCACUCCGCCUGGGGAGUACGGCCGCAAAGGCUG
rnacentral:rRNA from 1 species